AUUGAACGCUGGCGGCAGGCCUAACACAUGCAAGUCGAGCGAGCGGCGGACGGGUGAGUAAUGUAUGGGGACUGCCCGAUAGAGGGGGAUAACUACUGGAAACGGUAGCUAAUACCGCAUACUAUCGGAUAACCCAUAUGGGAUUAGCUAGUAGGUGAGGUAAUGGCUCACCUAGGCGACGAUCCCUAGCUGGUCUGAGAGGAUGAUCAGCCCCACUGGGACUGAGAACCGGGCCAGACUCCGACGGAGGCAGCAGUGGGGAAUAGUGCACAAUGGGCGAAAGCCUGAUGCAGCCCGGCCGAGUGUAUGAAGAAGGCCUUUGGGUUGUAAAGUACUUUCAGUCGGGAGGCGUUACCGACAGAAGAAGCACCGGCUAACUCCGUGCCAGCAGCCGCGGUAAUAC
rnacentral:rRNA from 1 species